rnacentral:rRNA from 1 species
UACGAAGGGGACUAGCGUUGUUCGGAAUUACUGGGCGUAAAGCGCACGUAGGCGGAUUGUUAGUCAGGGGUGAAAUCCCGGGGCUCAACCUCGGAACUGCCUUUGAUACUGCAAGUCUCGAGUCCGAUAGAGGUGGGUGGAAUUCCUAGUGUAGAGGUGAAAUUCGUAGAUAUUAGGAAGAACACCGGUGGCGAAGGCGGCCUGCUGGGCAGUUGCUGACACUGAGGCGCGACAGCGUGGGGAGCAAACAGGG